rfam:Triticum aestivum genome assembly, contig: Triticum_aestivum_CS42_TGACv1_scaffold_019629_1AS
GAUAUACUCCCACCGUCCGGAAAAUCUUGUUCUUCAAAUGAAUGUAUCUAUUACCAAAUUAGUGCUAGAUACAUCAAUUUAAAGGACAAGCUCGGGACAAGUUUUUUCGGACGGAGGAAGUAUUUA